AAUAUGUAUAAAAUAUGUAAAAGGAAUCAAUGGAAAUCAAUAAAAAGAUAAACUCUUAAAACACACAAAUUUGUUCUAAGUGGAUUCGGUACCUCGAGGCUCAUUAUCUCUCUUUUGGGGCUCCUAAUGGAGUAAUCUCCAGAAUCUAUUCAAGAGAUAUUCGGAGAUUAGCUGAGUCCUACUCAAGAACAAAUUGACAGAUUUUUCCUCUAAAAACCAAAAUUUCAGUUCAAAAACUUCAAAGCAUUUAAAGGAAAUUCAAAGAAUCAAAACAAAGUAGAAUGCAUAUGUUGAGGGGAAGAAUCUGAAAUUUUAAGAAAGCUAAAUCAUUAAUUAUAUAUAAGCCAAACAAUUGAAUGCAUGAUAUGAAGGCUUAUAUAAUUCUAAAUGAAAAGGGGAGCUUUAACUCCGAAAUUUAUUGUUUCACUCCUUUCAAGCUUGGAUAAAUUGAAUUACCAGACAUUUGAAUUCAUUUAUGGAUUUUAUUUGAUUGUUUAUGGUGCAAUUCACCUUACAUAUACUCAAUGUUUUGUCAUCAUCAAAAAGGG
rnacentral:lncRNA from 1 species